GACAGAGGUGCCAAGCGUUAGGCGGAAUCACUGGGCUUAAAGCGUGUGUAGGCGGAUUCCUAAGUACCUUGUGAAAUCCCACGGCUCAACCGUGGAACUGCUCGGUAUACUGGGUAUCUUGAGCCACUUAGGGGCGACCGGAACAAAUGGUGGAGCGGUGAAAUGCGCAGAUAUCAUUUGGAACGCCAAUGGUGAAAACAGGUCGCUGGGGCUGCGCUGACGCUGAGACACGAAAGCCAGGGGAGCGAACGGG
rnacentral:rRNA from 1 species